AAUCCCAGUUAAAUUUGAAUUUUAGGUAAACAGUGUAUUUUUUAAAAUACGAGUAUAUCUCAUGCAAUAUUGGGGACAUACUUAUACUAAAAACUUGUUUGUUGUCGGUCUGAACUGCAGAUUUAACUGGAUGUCCUCUAAUUU
rnacentral:miRNA from 1 species